CGAUUAAAUUUGGAGGAAGAGGUGAUGAAUGACUGCAGCAGUGAGCACAGCAGCUUUAUCAAAACUGAAAGUGACCCACCUGAAGACCCGUCCCUCCCUGCUCUAGGUCCUGAUUCCUGCUCUAUUGGUUUGGAAGAGUAAUGGGAUUAUCUGGCUCAACAGAAAGUCUGAACACUCAGAGUACCUGCUGCUCCAGCCAGCCGCUCCUGGGUCCCUCAAGCCAUUUGCACAUGGACGACGAUGAACUGGAUGUUUAACCCUGCACAUCUCCUCCUUUGUACAGCCCGAUAUGUCUCCACAUUGCAGUUUGAUGCACUCCCUUUCCAGUAUCCCACUUUGAAUAUGAUUGACUCUUAUUCUAGGCCUUUUGUUUUUGAACAUAACUGGCUGAGGCCGAUGAGCUUGUUCUGGUGGUCAGUCAUAUUUCUUGUGCUUGGUUUUAGGGCUCUAUUUUAUCAAGUUGCUUCACCCAAAAUCACCUUUACAUUAUUCAAACUCUGCAUUAUUAUCUUUCUUCCAUGAAUCACUAAAGAAGAUUCCAUGAAAGUGGAAGUUGAUUUUAAAGUACUUGUUAGGCUCCAAAAACCAGUCAAAUAAAAUAAGUCUUUACUACAUAUCAAGUUUUCAGAAGCCAUAUGAAAUACUUGUGAUGAACAGACCAAACUCUAAACCAGGGCUGUCCAAACUCAGUCCUGGAGGGCCG